rnacentral:rRNA from 1 species
UACGAAGGUCCCAAGCGUUAUCCGGAUUUAUUGGGUUUAAAGGGUGCGUAGACGGGCUAUUAAGUCAGUGGUGAAAUCUCCGAGCCUAACUCGGAAAUUGCCAUUGAUACUGAUGGUCUUGAGUACAUUUGAAGUGGGCGGAAUGUGUCAUGUAGCGGUGAAAUGCUUAGAUAUGACACAGAACACCGAUGGCGUAGGCAGCUCACUAAACUGUAACUGACGCUGAGGCACGAAAGCGUGGGGAGCAAACAGG